CAUCAAUCAGAUGGCGAUAUGCACUAAGCAUGUAAACGACCAUUGAACAAAAGAAGAAAUAAACAGCAUGGCGUGCUUUUUCUUAGUGACUCGUUUAUUCGUUACUCUGUUGAGAAUGUCUUGAGUCUUAACCAGGAACACUCUCUGAGUUUAAUGAACUUACUCCCAGAUGUGUUUUUGGAACCACAUACCUUGAGUAAGCAAGGUUUGGGGUUAAUCAAUCAAAAGUUCAGGGUUUAGCUGACGGUAAGUUAACUGCUUUCUGGAAUACACCCCUGCUCAGUGUUGUUUGCCGCCGUGUUGUCAGUUUGUCAGUUGCACAUCCGCCAUACUUCCUUUUUUUUUUCUUUUGUUUUUUCUUUUUCAUGUAUGUAGUUAUGAAAUGAAUCCUUCAUUAAAAAAGCCAUGGAUCGUGGACAAUAUUAGCCAUAAGAGCGUGCAUAGAUUCACACUUCAAAAAUCUACCUGAAAUAAUAGACCAUCUGACUUUUGACACACUCUGUUCAACAUACUAUGCUUUGGGAAGCACUUAUACUCAUCUAACAUACUAUUUAGGAUGGCUAGUAUGAACAUUGGAAUGCAUGGCCAGUCAGGAGGCAGUUAUUUUCUGGCUAGAAAGUGAACCUCUUUAAUCCUGCCCAGGUAUAAUGAUUUUCAAGCUGUGUGUGCUUACUGAUAAUGUGAUAAUGAGUUAACGAGCUGUCCAGGUGGCACAAAUUGUUUUCUGUUUGGCUUUAAAAGUCCUGGUUUGGUUGACUCUAUGUGUGUAGUUAGUUUGUCUGUGUCAGUGGUUAAGUUUGUGGUAAAGAAUGGGCUUGAUUAAACUUACUCUUUUGGUGUUUCUUUAUCACCAGUUGCUAUGGCAAGGAUGACGGGUCGGGUUCUAACGUCACCUCGCCCCAGGAUGACGGGUCGGGUUCUACCACCACCACAAUGCCGGAAUAUGGGUCUGGUUCUACCGCCACCACAACGCCGGAAUACGGGUCAGGUUCUAUCGUCACCUCACCCCAGGAUGACGGGUCGGGUUCUACCACCACCACAACGCCGGAUGAUGGGUCUGGUUCUGUAAACAGCACUGAGAGUCCUUCUGAAUAUGUUUCAGAUGUGGUGUAGUUAUGUGCUGUCAAACGUUGUUUAACCAAAUAAAAAUCAGUUGUUAAUGGUUUGUCUAGGGUUUUUUUUUUUUUUUUUUUUUUUGGAAUACGGGUCAGGUUCUAUCGCCACCUCGCCCCAGGAUGACGGGUCGGGUUCUACCACAACGCCGGAUGAUGGGUCUGGUUCUGUAAACAGCACUAAGAGUCCUUCUGAAUAUGUUUCGGAUGUGGUGUAGUUAUGUGCUGUCAAACGUUGUUUAAC
rnacentral:lncRNA from 12 species